UACGUAGGGCGCAAGCGUUGUCCGGAAUUAUUGGGCGUAAAGAGCUCGUAGGCGGUCCGUCACGUCCGCUGUGAAAACCCAGGGCUCAACCCUGGGCUUGCAGUGGAUACGGGCAGACUAGAGGUAGGUAGGGGAGAAUGGAAUUCCCGGUGUAGCGGUGAAAUGCGCAGAUAUCGGGAGGAACACCGGUGGCGAAGGCGGUUCUCUGGGCCUUACCUGACGCUGAGAAGCGAAAGCGUGGGGAGCGAACAGG
rnacentral:rRNA from 1 species